AUGAAGGAGUGGGCAAGAGUGUUUACAGAGGGAGGAGGGGCAAGGUGGGAAUCAGGUUCAACCCCCACCCCAGAGCAGUCCCCACCCUAUUUCGGCUUCUCUUGUCUCCUUAGCCACUUUGAACUUCAAGGUCAGCUGUUUCGGGGAACAGAUACCUGCCAUCAUGAUUGCCUUGUGCCCUGUCUCUUCUGCCACUCCUCGCUCUUGGGUCCACCCUCCCCCAGGCUGCUGGAAUUUGCUGGACACCUGACAAAGCCUGGGAGGUUGUCUGUCCCUGCGGACUCACCAUGGGGCCCCAGGAGCCUGCUUUCCAUCAGGAGCCACGACCCCCUUUGGUAGUUCUCAUCUUAGGAAAGGUGAAACGGGCUAAUUCAUCUUAACUGAAAGGAUGUGGACACGGGGAUAUGAAAACAGGGCUCCAGCAUCCGCUGGCUUGAGGUCGGUCCCAGCUCUGGCACUUUCAGGCUGUGUGAUCUUAGGCAGGACGUCUUCAGAAGCCUCAGUUCCUCACCUGUAAAAUGAAGAUUACUAGGGGCGCCUGGGUGGCUCAGUCAGUUGGGCGUCUGUCUUCGGCUCCGGUCAUGAUCCCAGAGUCCUGGGAUUGAGCCCCACGUCAGGCCCCCUGCUCAGUGGGGAGCCUGCUUCUCCCUCUGCCUCUGCCUGCUGCUCCCUCUGCUUGUGCUUUCUCUCUCUCUGUCAAAUAAAUAAAUAAAAUCUUUAAAAAAAAUCAAGAUUACUAGAAUACCUACCUCAUGGGGCUACUGUGGGGGAACGUGAGAGAAACUAGGUAAGGCAUUUUGCACACAGUGGCUGGUACCUAUGAGCAUUCAUUUGUUUAUUCAUUUGUUAAUUUAUUCGACCAAUAGUUCUCGAGCAUCUACUAUGCACUUGUAUUAAUCUAGGAUCUGGGCACGUAGC
rnacentral:lncRNA from 1 species